UAGAUAACUGGUACGUUAAACUUUGUGGGACAAGGAGACGUCUAAUUUCAGGGAGUAAAAUCGCAUAUCUACCAGAAAAAACUAAAUCGUAAUCAUCACAAGUGUCAUUCUACGGUUACAUGAAGGGAAACUAUCACUCACAACCACACCUGGAUCGCGCUUCUACUUUGACAACAAUAUUGAUAUCAUACAACGCUUCCAAAAGAAGAAUAAAUGUCUAUCCUAAGCUUCAUAGCAAACGACACCAGUCAACUUUUUUAAAAUUUACGUUACAGCUUUCUACGUCAAUUAAAUAGGCACACUCAAAUACUAUUUUCUCUUACGAAUAUUAAAUUCAUCAACAUAAUUUAUUAUUCAAACUUA